rnacentral:rRNA from 1 species
CCUACGGGAGGCAGCAGUGGGGAAUAUUGGACAAUGGGGGCAACCCUGAUCCAGCAAUGCCGCGUGUGUGAAGAAGGUCUUCGGAUUGUAAAGCACUUUCGACGGGGACGAUGAUGACGGUACCCGUAGAAGAAGCCCCGGCUAACUUCGUGCCAGCAGCCGCGGUAAUACGAAGGGGGCUAGCGUUGCUCGGAAUGACUGGGCGUAAAGGGUGCGUAGGCGGCGAGAUAAGUCAGGCGUGAAAUUCCUGGGCUCAACCUGGGGACUGCGUUUGAGACUGUUUGGCUAGAGGAUGGAAGAGGCUCGUGGAAUUCCCAGUGUAGAGGUGAAAUUCGUAGAUAUUGGGAAGAACACCGGUGGCGAAGGCGGCGAGCUGGUCCAUUACUGACGCUGAGGCACGAUAGCGUGGGGAGCAAACAGGAUUAGAUACCCUGGUAGUCCACGCCGUAAACGAUGUGUGCUGGAUGUUGGGGUUCAUAGAACCUCAGUGUCGUAGCUAACGCGAUAAGCACACCGCCUGGGGNGNGCGCGCAGUAGAACACAAGAGAGUGNGNGNGAGAGCGACGACGACGACGACGGAGGAG